rnacentral:rRNA from 1 species
UGGGGAAUAUUGCACAAUGGGCGAAAGCCUGAUGCAGCAACGCCGCGUGAGUGAUGACGGUCUUCGGAUUGUAAAGCUCUGUCUUUGGGGACGAUAAUGACGGUACCCAAGGAGGAAGCCACGGCUAACUACGAGCCAGCAGCCGCGGUAAUACGUAGGUGGCAAGCGUUGUCCGGAUUUACUGGGCGUAAAGGGUGCGUAGGCGGACCUUUAAGUGAGAUGUGAAAUCCCCGAGCUUAACUUGGGGGCUGCAUUUCAAACUGGAGGUCUAGAGUGCAGGAGAGGAGAGUGGAAUUCCUAGUGUAGCGCUGAAAUGCGUAGAGAUUAGGAAGCGCACCAGUAGCGAAGGCGACUCUCUGGACUGUAACUGACGCUGAGGCACGAAAGCGUGGGGAGCAAA